rnacentral:lncRNA from 1 species
GGGAGAGAGAGGAGGGAGAGGAGCGGAGGCUGGGGGCUGGCGGACUCAUCGAGCUGACUGUGCCACAUCCUUCCCAGCCCAGCUCACACUGACAAGGAAUUUCUUCCAUGAAGUUUGGGAAAAGAAAAGCCACAUCGAAGCAGAAGCAGAAGGGCUUUACUCCACAAUUAUGAAAGCUGAGGGUGGGCAUCAGCGCACACAGUUGGGUGCGAUGGGCUGUGGGUGUUUGCAGACCUCAUGCAGGUGGAUGAGUGUGCAGAAAGGUCACACCUACUGACUUCUCAGGCCUCUGGUGUGAAAGAUAAAGCCAUCUGGUCACCAUUUGACAG